rnacentral:rRNA from 1 species
GACUAACGCUGGCGGCGUGCUUAACACAUGCAAGUCGAACGAGUGGCGAACGGGUGCGUAAUAUAUCGGAACGUACCGAGUAAUGGGGGAUAACUACUCGAAAGAUUAGCUAAUACCGCAUAUUAUUCGAGCGGCCGAUAUCUGCUUAGCUAGUUGGGGGGGUAAAGGCCUACCAAGGCGACGAUCAGUAGCGGGUCUGAGAGGAUGACCCGCCAGACUGGGACUGAGAGACGGCCCAGAGUCCUACGGGAGGCAGCAGUGGGGAAUAUUGGACAAGGGGCGCAAGCCUGAUCCAGCGAUGCCGCGUGUCUGAAGAAGGCCUUCGGGUUGUAAAGGACUUUUGUCAGGGAAGCGGUACCUGAAGAAUAAGCACCGGCUAACGACGUGCCAGCAGCCGCGGUAAUAC